UACGGAGGGUGCGAGCUUUGUCCGGAAUCAUUGGGCGUAAAGGGCGCGUAGGUGGCCCAGUCAGCGUGCGGUGAAAGCUCGGGGCUCAACCCCGAGUCGGCCGUGCGAACUACUGGGCUGGAGCACUGUAGAGGCAGGCGGAAUUCCGGGUGUAGCGGUGGAAUGCGUAGAGAUCCGGAAGAACACCGGUGGCGAAGGCGGCCUGCUGGGCAGUUGCUGACACUGAGGCGCGAAAGCGUGGGGAGCAAACAGG
rnacentral:rRNA from 1 species